UUGCAACCUCAAAUCAGAUGUGGAGAGCCGCUGAAUUUAUGCAUAUUCGUCAGCAGAGGAAAAGAAAUUUACCAGGAUUCGCUCAGUAAUGGUGAGCGAAGAGGGAAGAGUCCAGUGCCGAAUCCCCACCCCGCGAUGGGGCGUGGGAAAUGUGGUGUACAGAAGCGCCCAUCCCCAGCGCCACUCCUGGGGAGGCCCAAGCCCUUAUGGUCGAGGCCCAGCCCGUGGACGAUAUGAGUCCCUUAGUGACCCUCCGGCAUGCUGGGACCAGGGCUUCUUUGAGUUGGGUUGCUUGGGAAUGCAGUCCAAAGUGGGUGGUAAACUCCAUCGAAGGCUAAGUACCGGCACGAGACCAAUAGUCAACAAGUAAUGUGAGGGGAAGUUGAAAAGAACUUUGAAGAGAGAGUUCAAGAGGGCAUGAAAGCAUUAAGAGGUAAAUGGGUGGGGUCCGUGCAGUCAGUCCAGAGGAUUCAACCYGGYGGGCUCAGUCAGCCAACUCGGGUCUUGGUGGAUGCCCGCCUCUGCCUCCCCUCCGUCCCCCUUGCAGGGGCGGGCCAAGGGGGGUUGYGGGCUGGUUGCCAGCCCCCAUCGGGUGCUUUUCCCCCAUGGCGGUGUGCCGCAACUUUCUCYRGGUUGGCUGGGAAGGCCURGUGGGCAGGUGGCUCGCCUGCGUGUGGUAGUGAGUGUUACAGCCACUGGGCAGCAGCUCUCACCGAAUCCCAGGACUGAGGGAGAGGUCUGCCACUGCACGUUCCCCUGUGGCAGUUCCUGCACCCCAGCGGCUGUGGCGGCGGUGCAUUUCUCCCCAGCUCUGCUUGUGGGGGGUGGAGGGGCAGYGGUGGUGAGGGGUGGCCCAUGCAGGGGAUAGGCCCCCAGUCCCCAGCGCAACUGUCAACCAGGGUGGACUGUCCUCAGUGCACCCCUCUUGCUUCGCGCCACCAGGCAGGGUGUGGUGAUGCUUAGGUGCCUGGGGUCCGCGGCGAUGUUGCCUACCCACCCAACCUGUCUUGAAACAUGGACCAAGGAGUCUAGCAUGUGCRUGAGUCAGCAGCUCGGUCAAUAGUCCAUGGCGCAGCGAAGAUGAGGGCUGGUGUGUGUCAGCUGAGGUGGGAUCCCGAGGCAGAGGCAGAGCCGAGGGCGCACCACCAGGCUGUCUUGCCCUCUCCGUUGGGGAGGUGGCGCAUGAGUGUCCGUGCUAGGACCUGAAAGAUGGUGAAGUAUACCUGGGCAGGGUGAAGCCAGAGGAAACUCUGGUGGAGGUCCGAAGCGGUCGUGACAUGCAAAUGGGUUGUCCGACCCGGGUAUAGGGGUGAAAGACUAAUCAAACCAUCUAGUAGGUGGUUCCCUCCGAAGCUUCCCUCAGGAGAGCUGUCACUCGUAGACGGCACAUUUCCCUGGUAAAGCGAAUGAUUAGCGGUCUUGGGGCCAAAUUGAUCUCAACCUCUUCUCAAACUUUCAAUGGGUAAGACGCCCGUCUCGCUGGCGUGGAGCCGGGCCGUGGAAUGCGAGUGCUUAGUGGGCAGCUUUUGGUAAGCAGAACUGGCGCUGCGGGAUGAACCAAACGCUGGGUUAAGGCGCCCGAUGCCCACACUCAUCAGACCCCAGAAAAGGUGUUGGUUGAUAUAGACAGCAGGAUGGUGGCCAUGGAGUCGGAACCUGCUAGGGAGUGUGUAACAACUCACCUGCCGAAUCAAGUAGCCCUGAAAAUGGAUGGCACUGGAGCGUUGGACCCAUACCUGGCCAUUGCCCAUGAUGGGAAGCCACGUGGGCUACGCCACRACGAGUAGGAGGGCCGCUGCAGUGCGCCUUGAAGGCUGGGGUGUGGUCCCGUGUGGAGCCACUGCAGGUGCAGCUCUUGGUGGUAGUAGCAACUAUUCAAACGAGAGCUUUGAAGGCCGAAGUGGAGCAGGGUUCCAUGUGAAUAGCAGUUGAACAUGGGUCAGUCAGUCCUAAGCGAUAGGCAAGCGUUGUUCUGAAGGGAUGGACGAUGGCCUCCGUUGCCCUCAGCCGAUGGAAAGGGAGUCAGGUUCAGAUCCCCGAAUCCGGAGUGGCAGAGAUGAGUGCCGCAAGGCGUCCAGUGUGGUAACUCAACCGGUGGUGGAGAAGCUGUCGGGAGCCCUGGGGAGAGUUGYGUUUUCUUUGUGAAGAGCUGGGUGCCCUGGAAUGGGAUUGCCCCGAGAGAGGGGCCUGCGCCUUGGAAAGCGUCAUGGUUCCAGUGGGGUCCAGUGAGCUCUYGCUGGCCCRUGAAAAUCCAGGGGAGAAGGUGUAAAUCUYGUGGUGGGCCGUACCCAUAUGCGCAGCAGGUGUCCAAGGUGAACAGCCUCUGGGAUGUUAGAAGAAUGUAGGUAAGGGAAGUUGGCAAGUGGGAUCCAUAACUUCGGGAUAAGGCUUGGCUCUAAGGUCUGGGUCGGUCGGGCUGGGACACGAAGAGCGCAUGGGCACAUGCCACAGCUGGAUGAGGCACUGUGCGCCCCACCUGUCCCCUCCACCCCCCCGUGUUGGGGGGAGGAGUGUUGGGCGUGGGGUGGUGACUCUGGACGCACACCAGGCCCUUCCUGUGCAUUGCCCCAGCUUUGGCAGGCGUCGCCCACCCUCUCCCCCCCUCCUCCCCGAGCCCCAGCAGCUGCCACCGCCCCACCACUCCACCAAUCUGCAGGGGCUGUGGGUGCCCUGGUGCACAUGCAGCUGCUGGUGAUGGGGGUUAGCUGGGGUCACAGGGCUGGCGCCCUGCCUUGGCCAGCGCCUAGCAGCUGACUUAGAACUGGUGCAGACCAGGGGAAUCCGAAUGUUCAAUUAAAACAAAGCAUCACGAAGGUCCGUGGCGGGUGUUGACGCAAUGUGAUUUCUGCCCAGUGCUCUGAAGGUCAAAGGGAAGAUAUUCAAUGAAGCACGGGUAAACGGCGGGAGUAACUAUGACUCUCUUAAGAUGGGGCCAUAGUUACUAACUGGGCUUAGCUGCAGUGGUCACACCUCCUCGUGGUCCCGCUGGAUGCCCAUUUGUGGGUAACCGAGUUGGCCUCUGCCCCAGUGUGUUUGUGYGGUGUUAUAGUUACUUCCUCCCUAUCGACUGGCGUCACCGACCACUUGAUAGUAAAUUCAGAUGAAUCUAAAUUUAUUCAACCACGAACUGGUAAAGUAGUUGUGUGUCCAAAGCCCUUUGCCUGAGGGCUGAUCUAAGGCAUAUCAGGUGAACUUGGUGGCUGGUUCAUCUGGUUAUAUCCCAAACCCCCGCAGUCAUGUUGAACAACCUAUUAAAAUCUUGGGUUGUGAAUUUUGUCUCGGUGGCCACCCAGACGGGAGAAACUCUCCCGGAAAUUGCAAAGGCACACCCUGAGAGACUAACAUCUGAGGAGGUGGUCCACCUGUCCCAAAAUUUGACAUUUUAUAAUUUGGAUUUGGCCGGUUGGGAAGGGACUUGUCCCRAACCAACCUGGGAUUGCAUUAAACAUCUGCCAGAGGUUGAUGAGGUCUUGGAACCCGUUGGAUCACCUCUGAUGACCGGGGCUGAAGAAGCACCAGAGGAGGAUGUGGUAGAUGU
rnacentral:rRNA from 1 species